CUUGUGACAUCACAGGAGAAGCUAGGGCUCUCCAGGAUACAAGAGAUUUUUCAUGGAGGGCCUAAUGAUGAAUGUCUCUGAGAACUGCCAUGGCCUACCUGUAAACAGCUUUCUUUACAUUGACCAGUUUCAAGAGUGCCUUUCCAGGUCUCCAGUCUUUCCAAUUCUCCUCCAAAUGUGUUGGAGAAGACCCCUCUGGUCGAGGGGAGGUACAACAAGCCCCAUCAAACAAAAUGGUCUGCACAUCUUCUUCUCUUAAAGGACCUUUUCUUCUUGCGAAAAAGUGUAAAGGUCAUGAGUUCUCAGGAAAACAACUGUGCCCUUCACAACACUUGGCUUUUGGAAUAAAGAAAUAAAUGAUAUAAACCCUUUGACUUCCAGGAACCAUAAGAACAGGGAAGUCUACAA